rnacentral:rRNA from 1 species
AACAUAGGGGGACCAUCCUCUAAGGCUAAAUACUAAUUACCGACCGAUAGUGAACCAGUACCGUGAGGGAAAGGCGAAAAGAACCCCGGCGAGGGGAGUGAAAUAGAACCUGAAACCGUGUGCGUACAAGCAGUAGGAGCCCGUUUACGGGUGACUGCGUACCUUUUGUAUAAUGGGUCAGUGAGUUACUUUUAGUGGCAAGCUUAACUUUCUUAGGGAGGCGUAGGGAAACCGAGUCUUAAUAGGGCGUUUAGUCGCUAGGAGUAGACCCGAAACCAGGCGAUCUAUCCAUGACCAGGGUGAAGGUGGGGUAAUACCUACUGGAGGCCCGAACCGUAUAAUGUUGCAAAAUUAUCGGAUGAGUUGUGGAUAGGAGUGAAAGGCUAAUCAAGCCUGGAGAUAGCUGGUUCUCCCCGAAAACUAUUUAGGUAGUGCCUCAUGUAUUACUCUCGGGGGUAGAGCACUGUUUCGGCUAGGGAGACAUCCCGUCUUACCAACCCGAUGCAAACUCCGAAUACCGAGAAGUACAAUCAUGGGAGACACACAGCGGGUGCUAACGUCCGUUGUGGAAAGGGAAACAACCCAGAUCGCCAACUAAGGUCCCAAAAUUACAGCUAAGUGGGAAACGAAGUGAGAAGUCAAAGACAGCCAGGAGGUUGGCUUAGAAGCAGCCAUCCUUUAAAGAAAGCGUAAUAGCUCACUGGUCAAGUCGACUUGCGCGGAAGAUUUAACGGGGCUUAAGCUGUAUACCGAAGUUGCGAAUGCUUAUUUUUAAUAAGCGUGGUAGGGGAGCGUUCUGUAAGUCAUUGAAGGCAUAUUGUGAGAUAUGCUGGAGAUAUCAGAAGUGAGAAUGCUGACAUGAGUAACGAUAAUGCGGGUGAAAAACCCGCACGCCGAAAACCCAAGGGUUCCUGCGCAACGCUAAUCGACGCAGGGUUAGUCGGUACCUAAGGCGAGACCGAAAGGUGUAGUCGAUGGACAACAGGUUAAUAUUCCUGUACCGCGUAUACUGCGAUGGGGGGACGGAGAAGGCUAAGCUUACCGGGUGUUGGUUAUCCCGGGAAAAGUAUGUAGGUAGAGAACUUUGGAAAAUCCGGGUUCUUAUUACUGAGAUACGAGACCAUUGAUUUUUUAAUCAAGAAGUAGCUGAUGCCAUGCUUCCAAGAAAAGCCUCUAAGCUUCAGGUAUUACGUGACCGUACCCCAAACCGACACAGGUGGGUGGGAUGAGAAUUCUAAGGCGCUUGAGAAAACUCUGGUGAAGGAACUAGGCAAAUUGGUACCGUAACUUCGGAAGAAGGUACGCCUUUGUUGGUGAUUGAAUUUACUUCAUAAGCUGAUGGAGGUCUCAGAAACCAGGUGGCUGCGACUGUUUACUAAAAACACAGCACUCUGCUAACUCGUAAGAGGAUGUAUAGGGUGUGACGCCUGCCCGGUGCCGGAAGGUUAAUUGAUCGAGUUAGCCCUUUUUGGGCGAAGCUCUUGAUCGAAGCCCCGGUGAACGGCGGCCGUAACUAUAACGGUCCUAAGGUAGCGAAAUUCCUUGUCGGGUAAGUUCCGACCUGCACGAAUGGCGUAACGAUGGCCACACUGUCUCCACCAGAG